GGGGAAUAUUGGACAAUGGGGGCAACCCUGAUCCAGCAAUGCCGCGUGUGUGAAGAAGGUCUUCGGAUUGUAAAGCACUUUCGACGGGGACGAUGAUGACGGUACCCGUAGAAGAAGCCCCGGCUAACUUCGUGCCAGCAGCCGCGGUAAUACGAGGGGGCUAGCGUUGCUCGGAAUGACUGGGCGUAAAGGGCGUGUAGGCGGUUUACACAGUCAGAUGUGAAAUCCCCGGGCUUA
rnacentral:rRNA from 1 species